GGUGUGAUAGAGGCGGCGAGGAGGUGAGGUGGGGGUGCCCGGCACGGGGCCACGGCGCAGUUGCUACUCAGACACGGGGAUGCUCGCAAUGCCUCUAUCAAAGACGCGUCGCACUGUGUUGUUAUGUGUUGUCAUAGUUAUUUCAUUGAAAAAUUAAUUUCACCGUUUUCGAAACACGCACCGAUUUCUGUCUGUGAAACACAAAGUCUGAACAACUCCUCUUAAGUUUCUGCCGAAACCGGACUUGAUUAUUUAGACCAAGCUUUCGUUCGAGCGUUCCUCAUUUCGAAAUUACGACAAGUAAGAAAAAGACGACGAAGAAACGGAAGAAGAAGAAGAAGAAGGAGAGGGAAAGAAGGAUAACCAAGAAAAAAAAUACCAAAAAAAGCACAAAAAAAGAGAAGAAACGAAAUUAAAACAAAAAAAAGCAUUGCCUUAAGAAAAGAAGAGUAUACCUACACUGUCGAAGGAACAAGCAAGAAACACAGGGGGGGAAAAAGAAUAAUAAAAAAAAAAAAUAACAAAAAAACACUUUAGACGCCUAACAAAGUAAAUUGUAAAGAUAUGACUAAAGUAUAUUUUUAACAAGUUUU